UGGGGAAUAUUGCACAAUGGGCGCAAGCCUGAUGCAGCCAUGCCGCGUGUAUGAAGAAGGCCUUCGGGUUGUAAAGUACUUUCAGCGGGGAGGAAGGGAGUAAAGUUAAUACCUUUGCUCAUUGACGUUACCCGCAGAAGAAGCACCGGCUAACUCCGUGCCAGCAGCCGCGGUAAUACGGAGGGUGCAAGCGUUAAUCGGAAUUACUGGGCGUAAAGCGAGCGCAGGCGGUUUCUUAAGUCUGAUGUGAAAGCCCCCGGCUCAACCGGGGAGGGUCAUUGGAAACUGGGAGACUUGAGUGCAGAAGAGGGGAGUGGAAUUCCAUGUGUAGCGGUGAAAUGCGUAGAUAUAUGGAGGAACACCAGUGGCGAAGGCGGCUCUCUGGUCUGUAACUGACGCUGAGGCUCGAAAGCGUGGGGAGCAAACAGG
rnacentral:rRNA from 1 species